UCCUUGCGCUACUCUGGGUCAAGUCAGCCCCCUCCAGCAGCGAAGUUUUCAUGGCUUGCUCUGCUCUUGUCACCUGUA